AACGGCCGUACCAUGCUGAAUAUACCGGUUCUCGUUAGAUCACCGAAGUCAAGCAUCAUUGGGCGCGGUCAGUACUUGGGUGGGUGACCACCUGGGAACAAUGCGUGCAGU
rnacentral:rRNA from 1 species